AGUGAACGCUGGCGGUAGGCCUAACACAUGCAAGUCGAACGGCAGCACAGUAAGAGCUUGCUCUUACGGGUGGCGAGUGGCGGACGGGUGCGGAAUACAUCGGAAUCUACUUUUUCGAGGGGGAUAACGUAGGGAAACUUACGCUAAUACCGCAUACGACCUACGGGUGAAAGCAGGGGAUCUUCGGACCUUGCGCGAUUGAAUGAGCCGAUGUCGGAUUAGCUAGUUGGCGGGGUAAAGGCCCACCAAGGCGACGAUCCGUAGCUGGUCUGAGAGGAUGAUCAGCCACACUGGAACUGAGACACGGUCCAGACUCCUACGGGAGGCAGCAGUGGGGAAUAUUGGACAAUGGGCGCAAGCCUGAUCCAGCCAUACCGCGUGGGUGAAGAAGGCCUUCGGGUUGUAAAGCCCUUUUGUUGGGAAAGAAAAGCAGCAGGUUAAUACCCCGCUGUUCUGACGUUACCCAAAGAAUAAGCACCGGCUAACUUCGUG
rnacentral:rRNA from 1 species